UACGUAGGUGGCGAGCGUUGUCCGGAUUUACUGGGCGUAAAGGGCGUGCAGGCGGUUUGUUAAGUCUAGGGUGAAAGCUCCCGGCUCAACUGGGAGAGGUCCUUGGAUACUGGCAGACUUGAGGAGGGUAGAGGAGAGUGGAAUUCCCGGUGUAGUGGUGAUAUGCGUAGAUAUCGGGAGGAGCACCAGUGGCGAAGGCGGCUCUCUGGGCCCUACCAGACGCUGAGACGCGAAAGCGUGGGGAGCGAACCGG
rnacentral:rRNA from 1 species